rnacentral:rRNA from 1 species
UGAAUACGAGACGCUACGGCGUCGAAGCAGUCUAUGUCAUACUUCCAAGAAAAGCUUGCACUGUCAUAAACAAAUAAUGCCUGUACCAUAACCGACACAGGUGGGUAGGUAGAGUAUACUAAGGGGCGCGAGAUAACUCUCUCUAAGGAACUCGGCAAAAUGACUCCGUAACUUCGGGAGAAGGAGUGCCUUAUUUAUAAGGUUGCAAUAACAAGAUCCAAGCAACUGUUUAUCAAAAACACAGGUCUCCGCUAAGUCGUAAGACGAUGUAUGGGGGCUGACGCCUGCCCAGUGCCAGAAGGUUAAAGAAGUUGGUUAGCAUUAGCGAAGCUGAUAACUGAAGCCCUGGUGAACGGCGGCCGUAACUAUAACGGUCCUAAGGUAGCGAAAUUCCUUGUCGGGUAAGUUCCGACCCGCACGAAAGGCGUAAUGAUUUGGAUACUGUCUCAGAGAGGGGCUCGGUGAAAUAGACUUGUCUGUGAAGAUGCGGACUACCUGCACCAGGACAGAAAGACCCUAUGAAGCUUUACUGUAACUUGAAAUUGAAAUUGGACUUUAUUUGCGCAGUAUAGGUGGGAGGCAUUGAUAAUAUUCUUGCGGGAAUGUUGGAGCCAUCAGUGAGAUACCACUCUUGUAAUGUUAGAUUUCUAACUUUGGAUCAUUAUCUGGUCAAAGGACAGUUUCAGGCGGGCAGUUUGACUGGGGCGGUCGCCUCCUAAAUGGUAACGGAGGCGCACAAAGGUUUCCUCUGAACGGGUAGAAAUCGUAUCUAGAGUGUAAAGGCAUAAGGAAGCUUGACUGUGAGACCUACAAGUCGAGCAGGGACGAAAGUCGGUCUUAGUGAUCUGACGGUGCUGAGUGGAAAGGCCGUCACUCAACGGAUAAAAGUUACUCUAAGGAUAACAGGCUGAUCUCCCCCAAGAGUUCACAUCGACGGGGAGGUUUGGCACCUCGAUGUCGGCUCAUCGCAUCCUGGGGCGGUAGUACGUCCCAAGGGUUGGGCUGUUCGCCCAUGAAAGCGGUACGCGAGCUGGGUUCAGAACGUCGUGAGACAGUUCGGUCCAUAUCCGGUGUAGGCGUUAGAAUAUUGAGAGGAGCCUUCUUUAGUACGAGAGGACCGAGAAGGACAUACCUCUGGUGUACCAGUUAUCGUGCCAACGGUAAACGCUGGGUAGCUAUGUAUGGAGAGGAUAACCGCUGAAAGCAUCUAAGUGGGAAGCCCACCUCAAGAUAAGUAUUCUCA